UACGUAGGGGGCAAGCGUUGUCCGGAUUUAUUGGGCGUAAAGAGCGUGUAGGCGGCCAGGGAGGUCCGUUGUGAAAACUCGAGGCUCAACCUCGAGACGCCGAUGGAAACCACCUGACUAGAGUCCGGAAGAGGAGAGUGGAAUUCCUGGUGUAGCGGUGAAAUGCGUAGAUAUCUGCAGGAACACCCGUGGCGAAAGCGGCGCGCUGGACCACUACUGACGCUGAGGAACGAAAGCUAGGGGAGCAAACAGG
rnacentral:rRNA from 1 species